UAGGGAAUCUUCCGCAAUGGACGCAAGUCUGACGGAGCAACGCCGCGUGAGUGAAGAAGGAUUUCGGUUCGUAAAACUCUGUUGUUAGAGAAGAACAGCGCAUAGAGUAACUGUUAUGCGUGUGACGGUAUCUAACCAGAAAGCCACGGCUAACUACGUGCCAGCAGCCGCGGUAAUACGUAGGUGGCAAGCGUUGUCCGGAUUUAUUGGGCGUAAAGCGAGCGCAGGCGGUCAAUUAAGUCUGAUGUGAAAGCCCCCGGCUCAACCGGGGAGGGUCAUUGGAAACUGGUUGACUUGAGUGCAGAAGAAGAGAGUGGAAUUCCAUGUGUAGCGGUGAAAUGCGUAGAUAUAUGGAGGAACACCAGUGGCGAAGGCGACUCUCUGGUCUGUAACUGACGCUGAGGCUCGAAAGCGUGGGUAGCAAACAGG
rnacentral:rRNA from 1 species